rnacentral:rRNA from 1 species
GACGGAGGAUGCAAGCGUUAUCCGGAAUGAUUGGGCGUAAAGCGUCCGCAGGCGGCAGUUCAAGUCUGCUGUCAAAGACCGGGGCUUAACUUCGGAAAGGCAGUGGAAACUGAACAGCUAGAGUAUGGUAGGGGCAGAGGGAAUUCCUGGUGUAGCGGUGAAAUGCGUAGAGAUCAGGAGGAACACCGAUGGCGAAGGCAGGUCUCUGGGCUAACACUGACGCUCAUGCACGAAAGCGUGGGGAGCAAACAGG